rnacentral:rRNA from 1 species
AGCUCCAAUAGCGUAUAUUAAAGUUGUUGCAGUUAAAAAGCUCGUAGUUGAAUUUGUGGGUGUUUCCAUAGUCCAUUAGUGGUACAACUGGUUGCGUCCAUCCUUGAAUAGAAGCUGUGUGGCAUUAGGUUGUCGUGCAGGGGAUAUUCAUCCUUUACUGUGAAAAAAUCAGCGCGUUCAAAGCAAGCUUAUGCUGUUGAAUGUAUUAGCAUGGAAUAAUAAGAUAGGACCUUGGUACUAUUUUGUUGUUUUGUGCACCAAGGUAAUGAUUAAUAGGGACAGUUGGUGGUAUUCGUAUUCCACUGUCAGAGGUGAAAUUCUUGGAUUUUUGGAAGACGAACUACUGCGAAAGCAUUUACCAAGGAUGU